rnacentral:precursor_RNA from 7 species
ACUGAGACGGAGACCUCUCUGGUGAGGUGCAGAGCUUAGCUGAUUGGUGAACAGUGAUUGUUUCCCUCUUUGUUCACAGUGGCUAAGUUCUGCACCUGAAGAGAAGGUGAGAUGAGGAUGUUU